CUCCGGCUAGUGACACCUCAGUGGGUUUUUGUCAACGCCUAUCUUAUUUUUAUUUCUUUCUCAGCUCAUUGUCGCCUUAUGGUGCCCAAAAGGAUUUUCACCAAUAAGACUCUCUCAUUUGUACUCAUUCAUUUUUUUUAUUUUUUUUUAAAUAAUGCCCAACAUAUGAAACAUCAUGCACCCAUAACAUGUUUAGCCUUGACAUUCUCAA
rnacentral:lncRNA from 1 species